rnacentral:misc_RNA from 1 species
GAUGAAGAACGCAGCGAAAUGCGAUAAGUAGUGUGAAUUGCAGAAUUCAGUGAAUCAUCGAAUCUUUGAACGCACAUUGCGCCCUUUGGUAUUCCUUAGGGCAUGCCUGUUCGAGCGUCAUUUAAACCUUCAAGCUCAGCUUGGUGAUGGGUGACUGUCCUCCCCUCGCGGGGGGACUCGCCUCAAAAACAUUGGCGGCCGGUACAUUGGCUUCGAGCGCAGCAGAAACGCGGUCUCGAGCCCGGUGGAUCGGCUCCCAUAAGCCUCUUCUUUUAUUUUGACCUCGGAUCAGGUAGGGAUACCCGCUGAACUUAAGCAUAUCAAUAAGCGGAGGA